AAUAUGUUGUAUUAGUGGAGAAAAGAAGCUUUAGUCUCACACCGACGAUAAGAGUUCUACCGGCAGUGUAGUAAUACAUAGUAGAAGACGGAGAUCUAAGAUGAAAAUAACAGAGACAAGAAUUUGAUCAAGGGACCGAAGAUUCAUAAGAUUUCAUGGAAUCUUUGUCGAUAGGGGAGGUAGACUCCGGUUCGGCGAGCUGAGCCACCAUCGAAGGUCUAUUUUUUACUCCUUAGUAUUUCUCUCUCUCACGAUCGAACAAGUAUCUCCUCGACAAUGACAAUAUCAUAUAUCUUCUUCCUUCUCAAAACGGCUAUAUAGUGGUGGGAUGACAGCGGAUCUUGGAAAAUCAUCAUCAUUCAGCUCACGUCGCCCAGGUUCAUUGGAUGUCCUGUUCCGACGAGAAUCUGCUCACAUUGGACGGCGUCUUCAAUUGUGUUCUAUGAUCAGAUAUUAGAAUUUCAAUAUGUAACCGGUUUAGUUCAGUUUUGUCAUGGACAUAUAUCUGGAAAUAUUCUAUUGCACAUUUAUUUAUAAAAAUUGAAAAUUUUUAACAAAAAAAAAAACUAAAAUUCAUAAAUGCAUGCAUAAUACAUACUCUAACGCAUGUUUAUAUGCAAUUAUGUACAGUAUAUUAUUAUUAGUAUAUACCAAACUUUGAUUUGUCUUUUCAAAGUCCAAAAUUUAAUAAUA